GCAGACUGCACAGAUGGUGCACGGAAAGGCUUUUAACAGAAAUGAACACUUUGAGACCAGUUUUGAAGGACUGAGUAGGAGUAAACCAAAAGAGAAAAAGCAGGACAAAAGAAGCACCGUGUUGGAAGCUCAAAGCCACACUGGAAACACAGCCUUCCAGGAUGUCUUGAAAGGGGCAAGUCUGUUUGUGUGGGGUAGCAAAUGCAGAGAGACAAACGGGCAGAGAAGAGACUGCAGAGGGCUCUGUGUGCUGAGAUGAGGGUGCAGACUAGAUUAAAAAUUUUUUUUUUUUUUUUUUUGUAGAGACAAGGUUUCACCAUGUUGGCCAGGAUGGUCUCGAUCUCCUGACCUCAUGAUCCACCUGCCUUGGCCUCCCAAAGUACUGGGAUUACAGGCGUGAGCCACUGCGCCCAGCCAGCAGACUAGAUUUUUAAAUCGAGAAUGCAACAGGGAAGGAUUUCAAGCUUGGAGUGAGAGGGAAGACUACGAGCCUGCAGUGAUAAGGCAAAGCUGAAGAUUUCAGAGCAAAGGCCAUGCCCUACAGUUGCCAUGGAAUGGGGUGGCUCAGUUGGCUUUGGAGGUUGGGGAGCUGUGCUUUGGAAAAGCGAUGACGAGGUAACAGGAAAUCUCUUCCCCUCCUAAGUCCUGUGUUCAUGGAGGAGGGUGGGAGGCUGAGUUUUCUCCUCUUGGGAGGGAGUUACAUCCAAGUUUAAGGGAAAAGAGUCUGAAUUUUCCACCUAAAUAAUUCUGAAAGAAUCAGGUUAAGAAGCAAAUCUGCUCUGAUGUGAUGCCAAUUAAGUACAUGAUCUGAUUGUUCCAGUUAUCCUGUGCCAAAAAGAAGCAAAAAAUGGGCUUUCCACGGAUUAUUGAACACAGUGGGUGUCAGUGUGCCUGAGAAACAAACUAGUAUUAAAAGCUUUCUAGGCAAUUUGAAUCAGGUUGCUGAGCUUUGAAAAACAUUCUACAGCCAAGUGUAGGAGACCAAAGAACUUGGAGAACAUACGUGCUCUGAGCUAUUUCAAAAAAUGCUGCACUUAAGCUAAUUGAGCUGUCGUCAGGGCAACACGGACGUGAAGAACAGGAAGGUAGAUUUUAGCGGAAGAGAAGAACAGGCAAGGGAUGGAGUCACGUGCAUUUGGAACACAGGACAAACAUAAGCCCUGUUUAUCUCAAUAAAGUAAGCACAGUUGGGCAUUCUGUGGGGCGAGAUCAUUUGCUGGAAUUUAGAUGAGGCCAAGAACAAUCCAUGGAUAUCAAAUCCACACAUAAGCCUCUGCUAGAAUUGUGCUAGAGUAAGGGCAGUCCUGGAAUUCCUCCAGGCGGUCUGGUUUUCUCCAGAUGUCUGGUUUCCAGGUGAAUGAACUGAAGAAAGAUCAAGAAAUACAUGGUGGGUAAGAGGUAAGAGAGAAAGCCUGUUUAAGUUAAAUCCGAUCUCCUCACACAUAAACCGACUCAAUGACUUCUGAAGCUUCCUCUUGUCUCUAACAUACAAUAAUUGAGUUAAAGAAAUAUAAUAUUCUUGUUUCAGGAAUAAGGACUAAUUGUUUUGGCCCCAAAAAAAUAAAAGAUAAAAGAACUA